rnacentral:tRNA from 1 species
GCCGCCAUAGCUCAGUGGCAGAGCAGCGCGCUUGUAUCGCGCCGGUCGCAGGUUCAAAUCCCAUGCUGGCGGCUCCA